AAGAGUAACGGAGGAGCACGAAGGUUGGCUAAUCCUGGUCGGACAUCAGGAGGUUAGUGCAAUGGCAUAAGCCAGCUUGACUGCGAGCGUGACGGCGCGAGCAGGUGCGAAAGCAGGUCAUAGUGAUCCGGUGGUUCUGAAUGGAAGGGCCAUCGCUCAACGGAUAAAAGGUACUCCGGGGAUAACAGGCUGAUACCGCCCAAGAGUUCAUAUCGACGGCGGUGUUUGGCACCUCGAUGUCGGCUCAUCACAUCCUGGGGCUGAAGUAGGUCCCAAGGGUAUGGCUGUUCGCCAUUUAAAGUGGUACGCGAGCUGGGUUUAGAACGUCGUGAGACAGUUCGGUCCCUAUCUGCCGUGGGCGCUGGAGAACUGAGGGGGGCUGCUCCUAGUACGAGAGGACCGGAGUGGACGCAUCACUGGUGUUCGGGUUGUCAUGCCAAUGGCACUGCCCGGUAGCUAAAUGCGGAAGAGAUAAGUGCUGAAAGCAUCUAAGCACGAAACUUGCCCCGAG
rnacentral:rRNA from 1 species